rnacentral:tRNA from 1 species
ACUUAGAUAGCUUAUAUGUAGAGCAUGAUAUUGAAGAUAUCAGGGAAGUUGAUUUAACUUUUAAGUA